rnacentral:lncRNA from 1 species
AAUCAACAGUCAGUGUGCAUGUUAGACCCACCAUGCUUAAAAUUCUUCCCAUCGCUUCCUGCCUCUUUUGCUCAGGGCCCUACCACUCAGCUAAGGACUAAAACAUACUCAUGUCAGUGAGAGACCACCAUAACAGAGCUGUGUGGGGACUCAAAGGAGUACCCAGCCAAGGGUCCCAGAUUCAAGUUCCUCAAGAGAUGGGAGUACCUCCCAGAAGUUAAUUCCAUAGUGUCCUUGCCCUUCCUCUGUGCCGAGGCAGAUGCAGGCUGAUCCCUACAAGAAGGAAAGCUGGGCUCCUGGAGGCUGCCACCUUGUUGACUCUACUCCACGCAGUGAUCCCACUUCAUUCCAGAAGAGCGGUAAAUCCUUCUAUUUCCUGGUCUCAGGAGGAGUGGAAAGCUAG